CAGUUCGGAUUGGAGUCUGCAACCCGACUCCAUGAAGCUGGAUUCGCUAGUAAUCGCGCAUCAGCCACGGCGCGGUGAAUACGUUCCCGGGCCUUGUACACACCGCCCGUCAAGCCAUGGAAGCCGGGAGUGCCUGAAGUGCGUGAGCGCAAGCAGCGCCCUAAGGUAAAACCGGUGACUGGGGCUAAGUCGUAACAAGGUAAC
rnacentral:rRNA from 1 species